UACGUAGGGCGCAAGCGUUGUCCGGAAUUAUUGGGCGUAAAGAGCUCGUAGGCGGUUUGUCGCGUCUGCUGUGAAAUCCCGAGGCUCAACCUCGGGCUUGCAGUGGGUACGGGCAGACUAGAGUGCGGUAGGGGAGACUGGAAUUCCUGGUGUAGCGGUGAAAUGCGCAGAUAUCAGGAGGAACACCGAUGGCGAAGGCAGGUCUCUGGGCAUUAAACUGACGCUGAGGAGCGGAAAGCAUGGGGAGCGAACAGG
rnacentral:rRNA from 1 species